UACAGAGGCCACAAGCGUUAGACGGAAUCACUGGGCUUAAAGCGUGUGUAGGCGGGAUGGUAAGUACCUUGUGAAAUCCCACAGCUUAACUGUGGAAUUGCUUGGUAUACUGCCGUUCUUGAGUCACCUAGGGGCAGCUGGAACAGAUGGUGGAGCGGUGAAAUGCAUAGAUAUCAUCUGGAACGCCAAUGGUGCAGACAAGCUGCUGGGGGGGUGUACUGACGCUGAGGCACGAAAGCCAGGGGGAGCAAAACGGGG
rnacentral:rRNA from 1 species